UAAUUUCAUAUACAUGUUGUAUGCACUAACACUUACCGAUAAAACAAAUUAACAAAAAUGCGUUAGCACUUUGGGUGAUAUAAAUGGUCUUUUCUAAAGUCUCUUAAUUAAUAUAAUUGGCAAUGACAAGAUUGAAAACAAGAACAACAUAUUUGCAUUGGGUCAUGGGCUCCUGCCAGGCAAAACACAUCAAAAAUAAAUAAAAAAGAUAUGCUAUCCAAGUUUGAAUAGUAAACGUUAUCCCGAAUGAUCUCUUUUAGCAAAAAGCUACGUGAGUAAGUUCGUAAAGGAUGGGAUUGUCUCACCUUUCUUGUGAUGGGAUUGUCUCAGUAGCAUGAUAAAUAAAAAUAAUUCAAUCGUAAAAGAGAUUUUAU